AACGAACGCUGGCGGCAGGCCUAACACAUGCAAGUCGAGCGCCCCGCAAGGGGAGCGGCGGACGGGUGAGUAACGCGUGGGAACGUGCCCUCUUCUACGGAAUAGCCUCGGGAAACUGGGAGUAAUACCGUAUACGCCCUUAGGGGAAAGGAUUUAUCGGAGGAGGAUCGGCCGCGUUGGAUUAGGUAGUUGGUGGGUAAGUGGCCUACCAAGCGACGAUCCAUAGCUGGUUUGAGAGGAUGAUCAGCCACACUGGGACGUGAGACACGGCCCACGACUCCUACGGGAGGCAGCAGUGGGGAAGU
rnacentral:rRNA from 1 species